rnacentral:rRNA from 1 species
GGCCGCGGGAAUUCGAUUAGGCCUAACACAUGCAAGUCGAACGGGAUCUUCGGAUCUAGUGGCGGACGGGUGAGUAACGCGUGGGAACGUGCCCUUUGGUUCGGAAUAGCCCUGGGAAACUGGGAGUAAUACCGGAUACGGUCGAGAGACGAAAGAUUUAUCGCCGAAGGAUCGGCCCGCGUUGGAUUAGGUAGUUGGUGGGGUAAUGGCCUACCAAGCCGACGAUCCAUAGCUGGUUUGAGAGGAUGAUCAGCCACACUGGGACUGAGACACGGCCCAGACUCCUACGGGAGGCAGCAGUGGGGAAUCUUAGACAAUGGGGGAAACCCUGAUCUAGCCAUGCCGCGUGAGCGAUGAAGGCCUUAGGGUUGUAAAGCUCUUUCAGUGGGGAAGAUAAUGACGGACCCACAGAAGAGCCCC